rnacentral:lncRNA from 1 species
CCACCCCCCCAAAUUUCCUAAGGCCAUUAGGACAGGGGGUAAAAAGAAAAAAGAGAGAGAAAAGAAAAAAGAAUAUUAGGAGCCUGGAGUAACUGCGGCCCGUGGGACUGUGGGGAGAAGUGGAAGAGGAGCCUCCCUCUCCAGAUCCAUCGCUCAGCACCACGCUUGGGUGAAGGCAUGGGAAGCACUGCCAUGGACAAGAAGAAAGAUGCCUCCAGCAGCACCAGCAGCAGCAGCAGCAGCAGGAAAAGCUCCAGCCACAAGAAACUCAUGUUGCGAGUGCACAUCCCCAAGUGCUCCUGUGCCCUGGGCUGUGGGCUUGGCUCAGUUUGUCUCACCCAGCUCCCUCUCAGACUCGCCGCGAAAGGUCUGUUCACCCCCAAACGCUGGUCUCAGCAUUCCCAGGUUUGGCUCCGGGAACUGUCCCUUCCUGUGGCUGAACCAGCGUUUAAUCUGAUUCUUCCCUCUCUCUCAAGACUAAUCCACUUGUGAAUUUCCCAGGGCUGGGGAACCCAGAGCUCGCUCAGAUUUGGAUCCAAGCAGUCUGGUCAUUGCCGAAGGAGUAGAGCAGUUGUAUUCCCAGUGGAGCAAACUAGUGAGCCAUGCAGCCUGUUCACCGGCUCUGUUCUGUGUAUUCCGCUAUAAAGUAACACGCAAGAAAUUGUAGAUAUAGAUACAGAAUAACCACAGAUCAAAAGUUUCUAUUUCCAGUGAGUACUGAAAGGCUGACUGGCUCCAUCUUCAGAAUUACAUGCCUUUCAAAACUUAGAUUAUUUGUUUUCUUUACUAUUAGGAUGUUCUUGUGAUCCAUGUAGCUAUUAGUUUGCUAUUCUCAGUCCUGAUGUACUUUUGGUUUCAGUGCUUCUGGCAAGAAAUGACAAAGUCCUUGUAUCUUUUCUGUGCACUGUUGUUUUAUUUAUUGAUGUUUGGGGUUUUUUUGUUUAUUAGUUUGUUUUAAAUCUCAUUAUAUAAAAGUGAGAAACAGUUCUACCCGUAUCUUUGCCAGGCCACCAAGGAGCAAAAAAUAUAUUUCUGGUUCUAUGAUUUUUCCUUUGUUUUAGGAAAGAAUAAGAAGUCAAAUUUAUUAGGUGUCUUGAGUGUGUGGAAUAAAAUGGAGGAAAAGUACA